UAGGGAAUCUUCGGCAAUGGGGGCAACCCUGACCGAGCAACGCCGCGUGAGUGAAGAAGGUUUUCGGAUCGUAAAGCUCUGUUGUAAGAGAAGAACGAGUGUGAGAGUGGAAAGUUCACGCUGUGACGGUAUCUUACCAGAAAGGGACGGCUAACUACGUGCCAGCAGCCGCGGUAAUACGUAGGUCCCGAGCGUUAUCCGGAUUUAUUGGGCGUAAAGCGAGCGCAGGCGGUUAGAUAAGUCUGAAGUUAAAGGCUGUGGCUUAACCAUAGUACGCUUUGGAAACUGUUUAACUUGAGUGCAGAAGGGGAGAGUGGAAUUCCAUGUGUAGCGGUGAAAUGCGUAGAUAUAUGGAGGAACACCGGUGGCGAAAGCGGCUCUCUGGUCUGUAACUGACGCUGAGGCUCGAAAGCGUGGGGAGCGAACAGGAUUAGAUACCCUGGUAGUCCACGCCGUAAACGAUGAGUGCUAGGUGUUGGAUCCUUUCCGGGAUUCAGUGCCGCAGCUAACGCAUUAAGCACUCCGCCUGGGGAGUACGACCGCAAGGUUG
rnacentral:rRNA from 1 species